rnacentral:rRNA from 1 species
GCAUAUCAAUAAGCGGAGGAAAAGAAACCAACAGGGAUUGCCCUAGUAACGGCGAGUGAAGCGGCAACAGCUCAAAUUUGAAAUCUGGCCCCCGCGGUCCGAGUUGUAAUUUGUAGAGGAUGCUUUUGGUGCGGUGCCUUCCGAGUUCCCUGGAACGGGACGCCAUAGAGGGUGAGAGCCCCGUCUGGUUGGACACCAAUCCUCUGUAAAGCUCCUUCGACGAGUCGAGUAGUUUGGGAAUGCUGCUCUAAAUGGGAGGUAUAUGUCUUCUAAAGCUAAAUACCGGCCAGAGACCGAUAGCGCACAAGUAGAGUGAUCGAAAGAUGAAAAGCACUUUGAAAAGAGGGUUAAAUAGUACGUGAAAUUGUUGAAAGGGAAGCGUUUGUGACCAGACUUGGGCUCGGUCAAUCAUCCAGCGUUCUCGCUGGUGCACUUGGCCGGCCCAGGCCAGCAUCAGUUUGCCGCGGGGGAGAAAGGUUUCGGGAACGUAGCUCCUCGGAGUGUUAUAGCCCGUUGCGUAAUACCCUGCGGCGGACUGAGGUUCGCGCAUCUGCUAGGAUGCUGGCGUAAUGGUCAUCAACGACCCGUCUUGAAACACGGACCAAGGAGUCGUCUUCGUAUGCGAGUGUUCGGGUGUCAAACCCCUACGCGUAAUGAAAGUGAACGGAGGUGGGAGCCUCGGCGCACCAUCGACCGAUCCUGAUGUUUUCGGAUGGAUUUGAGUAAGAGCAUACGGGGCCGGACCCGAAAGAAGGUGAACUAUGCCUGUAUAGGGUGAAGCCAGAGGAAACUCUGGUGGAGGCUCGCAGCGGUUCUGACGUGCAAAUCGAUCGUCAAAUAUGGGCAUGGGGGCGAAAGACUAAUCGAACCUUCUAGUAGCUGGUUUCCGCG